GAUGAUGAUCUCGAUUGUUAGAGCAUAUAUCUCAAUAUGUGGUUUUGGUAAUUGAUGACAAUUCCUAUGGACUAAUGGUUGCCUUAAGUUAUAUUUAUAGGAUUUGUCCAUAGGCACUUCUUGAAGUCCAUUUGUUGGGUUCAAGGAGUUUAUAUGAUGACCAAGGUGGUAUUCAAGGUAUUAUCCAAAGAAUGGUCAUAGAGACACAAGGUUGAUCAAGAUCAUCAGACAAAGAGUAAAUCAAGAUGAUCAACACACAAAGCGUACAAGAUGUACCGAGAGGGAUCAAGUGAUCACAUGGUAUGGUAAGCAGUGUCCAGUACGUAUUUGUGUACUAACCCAUGGUAUUUGUGGGAGUUCUAUGUGGGGGUUAGGUGUGUUUCCAUGGGCUUGCGUCUAGAGGAAGAUCUCAUACAACCCAUGAAGGAUGACGUCAAGUGGUGAUCGUCAUCAAGAUUGCGGUGUGCAAGUUCAAGAGGAUCAGCAUGAAUAUAUCGUGCUUGAAGCUUGCCAUCCAUUGUGGUGGCAAUGGACUUGUGAAGAUAUGCUGAAGAGUGGCUCACCCAUACUAAAUAUGGGGGAGCAAUCAACUAGUCUUCAUCAAGCCAACGCAAUCAAGAAAGGUGGUCCAUCUUGAGGAAGCCAAGAUCAUCAUCAUCUAGCUCAAGAGGACGAGGUGCAAGGUAUAGGUUUUCCCUUGAUAGGUUUUCUGUUUAGGAUAGAUUGUUGUACUAUCAAGGGGGGCUCUCAAGUGAGUAGCUUGAUCGUAUCGUUCGUUGAGAGCUCAAACCAUUUGCAUCCUUGCAUCAUACUUCUUGGUUCUUGUUUGGUGUUUCUCUUUGUGAGUUUUAUAGCUUAUGGUCAUCUUCGUGACCAGCUCGAGUUCAUCGAAAACGGAGUCCAUAUGCAUCUACUAUGAUGUUUUCGAUGUUGGAGUUUUUGCCGGUUCUUCAUUCAUAGAGAUUUUCGAUGUUGGAGUUGGCAUUUUCAUAUCUGCAUGGUCUUAAGAUUUCGCUGUUUGGAUAGCUCUUUUCGUCUUGAAUCCAACAAGCUUGGGUUUGCUCGAUUUGGAGCUCGUAUGCGAAAGUUAUGGUUGUUUCAGUGGCGAGCGGUAGUACCGCUAGAGGUGGUGGUAGUACCGCUGGCCCUAGCGGUAGUACCGCUAGAGCUGGCGGUAGUACCGCCCCUGGCCAGCGGUAGUACCGCUCCAAGUUUUUAGUACCGUCAUAUUUGCGGUUGUACUGCGUCGGACAUUUUUGCGAAGACUUUAUUGGCGGUGGUUGGCCCGGUAGUAUCUUUGCGCUACCAUGGGCUCAGCGGUAGUACCGCUGCAGCCAACGGUAGUACCGUUGGAGGGUCAGCGGUAGUACCGCUGCAGCCAGCGGUAGUACCGCCGGAGGGUCAGCGGUAGUACCGCUGGGCUCGGGCUGUAAGUGGGGGUAACGGUCUGAUUCCUUCCCCCACUAUAUAAAGGGGGUCUUCUUCCCCCUUGGUCUUAUCCAUCCAUUGAGCUCUUGUUCUACCUCCAUUGUUGACAUUCUUAGAGCUUGCUAACUCUCAAUCCCUCCAAUGAUUCUUGCUUGUUCUUGAGGGAAAAGAGAGAGGAGAUCUAGAUCCACAUCUCCACCAAUCACUUUCUCCUCUAUGUGAGGGGAACCCCUUGGAUCUAGAUCUUGGAGUUCUUUGUGAGCUCCUUGUUCUUCCUCUCUUAUUUCUCCAUAGCUUUCGUUGUUGUGGAGGGAUUUGAGGGUGAGGGACUUGACCACUUCGUGUGUUCUUGCCAUUGCAUUAGUUGCAUCGGUUUGAGUUCUCCACGGUGAUACGUGGAAGUGAGAAGUUGAGAAGCUUACUACCUUUGGUACUUAGUACCCUAGAUAUUGUUCUUCGUGGAUGCUUUGGCAUCCUAGAAGCUUGGUGGUGUCUCGGAGCUCAAUCAUUGUGGUGUGAAACUCCGGGCAAGCGUCGGGGUCUCCAAUUAGGUUGUGGAGAUUGCCCCGAGCAAUUUGUACGGGUACCGGUAACCGCCCCCAAGGGUUGCCACGUGUACGGGUUCGGUGACCGCCCCCAAGGUUUGCCAUUUGUACGGGUUCGGUGACCGCCCUCAAGGGUCCCUUAGUGGAAUCACGACAUCUUGCAUUGUGCAAGGGCGUGAGGAGAUUACGGUGGCCUUAGUGGCAUCUUGGGGAGCAUUGUGCCUCCACACCGCUCCAACGGAGAUUAGCAUCCGCAAGGGUGUGAACUUCGGGAUACAUCAUCGUCUCCCCGUGCCUCGGUUAUCUCUUACCCGAACCCUUUACUUAUGCACUUUACUUUGUGAUAGACAUAUUGUUCUUUGUAAUAUAUCUUGCUAUCACUUAGUUGUUUAUCUUGCUUAGCAUAAGUUGUUGGUGCACAUAGGUGAGCCUAGUUGUUUGUAGGUUUUGUGCUUGACAUAUUAAACAUUAGUUUUAUUCCGCAUUUGUUCAAGCCUAAACCUUAAUUAUUUUAAAGCGCCUAUUCAUCCCCCUCUAGGCGACAUCCACGUCCUUUCAUCGAUGAUGCCCGUGACGAUGGUGAUGACGAUGACGACGAUCUCCCCCUCCUGCAGGAGUUCUCCCCGACGAAAUCUGCCCGUCGGAAAGGUCUUUUCUUCUCUGUAGGUUUUCGCCACGGGGCGGUGGCGAAACUGUGAAAACUCUUCUGUCCACGGGAUGUUUAGGUCACUAGGGUCAUAUAGGCCAAAGGGGGCACCAGAGGCGGGACGCACUGCCCAGGCGGACACCUGGCGCGGCCUAGGGGUGACCCGCGCCACCAGGGCGCCUGGGUGCCUGGUGGCCCCCCUCCGGCCCUUCUUCAGCCUGUCUUCGUGAUUUGUUCGGAAAAGAUUUCCCCGUAAAUUUCAGCUCAAUUGGAGAUGUUCUAAUAUGGCAACUCUUCAUGCUCUUUUCUCCGCUGAAUCCUGCGUUUGCUGUUUCAGCACCAGAAAGUUGUAAACUGUGUAAAAUAAGCCAAAACACUAUAAGAACAUCAUCAUAUUGUGAAAUAUAUCAAUGAAUAGAGACAAAUUAUGAUAGAAAAUAGUGAUGCAUUUUGGACAUAUCAGCGGGCGACGUCGGUUCCUCGAGUUGUCUUUGAACCGACUUCGGCGGUGGCCAUUAAUGGUGCACGAGGGCGGUGGGGAGGUAGGUUUGACUAGUGGGGGUGUUCGGUUGUCCGCAAGUGGGAUCCAAGUGAGUUGGAUGGCUCGGGAGGGCUCCAUGUGGCUAGGUCAAUGCCGCCCACGAGCAAGCCGUCGUGGUGACCAUUGAUGGCGAGUUGUGGCCGGUGGGGCUCGGUGAUGAGCGAUGGUGCUCUCGUGGGUAAAACUUAGACCAGGGCGUGCUGGCUGGCUCGAAGGCAGGCCAAGCGUCUUGGGCGGUGGCAUUAGGUCAGUUCGUCAUGAGGAAAUCCCAACCAUGGACAUCACACCACCAAUCAUCAAAGGCCCAGUCACAAGAAAUUGCACAAAGCAAAUACAUGAUCACGUGAACGCUAACUUAAGUUUAUCAUUUGACCUUUAAAACAUGGUUGUACCUUUACCUCCUUCGUUCUUGGUUGAACUCAGGUGCAACAUUGAAGAUGACCAACAACAUUUUUAGUCCAUGCCGAAACCUUGUUUUAGAACAAAGAAACAAAGUUGUUACCGAAGAAACAAAGUUUUGGCGCUAUAGAAACAAUGUUGUGCACGAGUUUGGUUUUGCCAACUUGCAAAAGGUUUCCAGCACACAAGUUUGCUACUGAAGAAAACAUUGUUCAACUCUAGUGAACAAUGUUUGGUCGGGAACCACCAACCACCUCUAAUGAGAGAUUUCCAGAAGCUACCUCAUUAAGUCUCAAAGCCUUUUAGUCAAACCAAGGCCGGUUCUCUUCCUUUCUUUGGGGACUUUUUCCAUUUCUAUCAACGAGCAAAGAAAUAUAUACUCCUCGUAAGAUUAGAUAGCUCUUAUUAUCCUUAUUCUCCUGAUUCCUUGAGAAAUUCCUCCUAAUUCAUGCUCCACAACUAGAUCAUGUUGUGUGGGUUGGAGUUUGUGGAUUCCUGUGAAUUGCACCUAUCCCGUGCUCCACGACUUGAGUGUGGUUGUGUGGGAUAGUUUCGGGUUCUGGAUCGGAGAACGUCUCGAUCGCAAGCUACGGUUAGCAUCCUCCUCGUCGGGUCACCAUCUCUUAUUUUCUAUUUCUUCGGCUACUUGCAGCUAAUUAUCCCCAUCCAUUUAUCGAUCCUAUGCUGUGAAGAUUGGACCUCCCCUUGUACACCCACUGCUCCAUAGAUGAUGCCGUAUCAUGUGGUAUUCAGAGCAAGAUUUACAUGAUAGGAUGUAUACUUGUUAGAUCUAUGCUUUUUAGUUUGGUUUUUCCCAGUCCUAGAGUCCAAAGCCAAAAAGGCACAAAAAAAUAUCCAAGCCUUUGUUUGUUGAGAUCUAGUUGUUUGCUUUCCUCUUUGUGUUUGCACCAAGUUCUAUCCGAAGUUGUUGCUACUUUUUCUUUGAGUCUUGCUGUUGGGUCUAUUGAGAAGAAAAAAGUAUUAAAAAGGAGAGAGAGAAAAAGGCACGAAAAGAGGGAAAAAGAGAUGAGGAAGUUUUGAGAAAGUGUGCAAUCAUAUUCAAUUUGCUGAGAAUUUUCAAAAUUUGUUUUGGCAAGGUUGUAGCUCAAAUUGGUGCAAGGAUCUAGAAAACUUUUCUUGUUUCAUUUUGUUUGAAUUGAUUGGAUCUCAGCACUAGCUUCCUCAUUUUACCCCACUAAGCUCCACCCAAACAGUGCCAGGUGGUUCCCUUUCGUUCGCCCGUCCACUCCUGAUUUGCUACCACCACACAACCGCCAAGGAAUCAUUAGAAUUUGGGUAAGCAAGAAGGUGAGUUGAGUGUUUUCCCCACAUAUAUAUUUUCUUUUGUCCACUUGUUUCCAAGAGUUAACAUGCUAGGUUCCAACUCGAGUGUACAUGCACAUCAAAAGGUGGAAGAUGACUUCUCAAAGACUCGUGUGGCGCUUGGUGAUGUGAUUGAAAAAGUAUAGCUAAAGCUAUGCAAAGGAUGUUCAGAGUUCGUCUUCCUAUCGGAGGCAAUGGGGAUCCACAUCAACACAACCCCGCUAUUUGGAUGGCCGCUGACAACCGACGACGAGGAAACGAGGAACGCCACGAUGGUCGUCAAAGAGCUGCAGGAGGCGCUACCCACGGCGCCCUCUUUGCUGGUGCUGAACGGAGGCGUGGCAACUUUACUCCCCCUCAUGAGGGUGGGAUGCAUGGAGGAGAACCUCGUGGGAGAGGCAUUGGCCUUCACAAGUUUGCUGCUGAUAACCAGCGAUGAGCUGCACAUGAUGGUGAUGACAGAUACGAUUCCAACGUAUCUAUAAUUUUUGAUGGUUUCAUGCUAUUAUCUUGUCAAACUUUGGAUGUUUUGUAUGCCUUUUAUAUAUUUUUUGGGACUAACUUAUUAACUCAGUGCCAAGUGCCAGUUCCUGUUUUUUCCAUGUUUUUGACCCCUUUCAGAGGAGAUUUUGAAAUGGAGUCCAAACGGAAGAAAAUCCCUGAAAAGAUUUUUUUUUUUGGAACGGAAGAAGAUCGGGAAGCUUGGGAGCCAAGGCAGGGUAGCCUCAAGGGCCCCACAAGCCCCCACCCCGCGCCCAGGGGGAGGCCAUGCCAUCCAGGCUUGUGGGCCCCCUGGACGCCCUUUGCCCUAGGUCUUUCACCUAUAUAUUCCCAUAAAUUCCAGAAAAAAUCAAGAGAUCAUUGAAAGUACUUUUCCGCCGCCGCAAGCUUCUGUCUCCGCAAGAUCCCAUCUCGGGCACGUCCUAGUGCCCUACCGGAGGGGGUUUCGGACACUGAGGGCUUCUUCAUCAACACCAUGACCUCUCCAAUGAUGCGUGAGUAGUUCACCAUAGACCUACGGGUCCAUAGUAACUAGAUGGCUUCUUCUCUCUCUUGGAUCUUCAAUACAAAGUUCUCCAUGAUCUUCAUGGAGAUCUAUCCGAUGUAAUCUUGUUUUGCGGUGUGUUUGUCGAGAUCCGAUGAAUUGUGGGUUUAUGAUCAGAUUAUCUAUGAAUCUUAUUUGAGUUUCUUCUAAUCUCUCUUAUGCAUGAUUUCAUAUCCUUGUAAUUCUCUUUGAGUUGUGGGUUUUGUCUGGCCAACUAGAUCUAUGUUUCUUGCAAUGGGAGAAGUGCUUGGUUUUGGGUUCAUACCGUGCGGUGACCUCACCCAGUGACAGAAGGCGUAGCAGCACGCAUCGUGUUGUUGCCAUCAAGGGUAAAAAGAUGGGGGUUUCAUCAUUGGUUUGAGAUUAUCCCUCUACAUCAUGUCAUCUUGCUUAAAGCGUUACUCUGUUCGUCAUGAACUCAAUACACUAGAUGCAUGCUGGAUAGCGGUCGAUGUGUGGAGUAAUAGUAGUAGAUGCAGAAAGUAUCGGUCUACUUGUCUCGGACGUGAUGCCUAUAUGUAUGAUAAUUGCCUUCGAUAUCGUCAUGACUUUGCGCGGUUCUAUCAAUUGCUCGGCAGUAAUUUGUUCGCCCACCGUAAAACUUGCUAUUUUGAGAGAAGCCUCUAGUGAACACUAUGGCACCCAGGGUCUACUCCACACCAUAUUUUCAGCCUUACACUUUUUACUUCGUUGCACUUUGCGCCUUCAGAUCUCACUUUGCAAACAAUCUUGAAGGGAUUGACAACCCCUUUGAAGCAUUGGGUGCAAACUUCUUUGUGUUUGCGCAGGUACUCUGGACUUGAUGAGACCCUCCUUCUGGAUCGAUACCUUGGUUCUCAAACUGAGGGAAAUACUUACUGCUCCUGUGCUGCAUCACCCUNNNNNNNNNNNNNNNNNNNNNNNNNNNNNNNNNNNNNNNNNNNNNNNNNNNNNNNNNNNNNNNNNNNNNNNNNNNNNNNNNNNNNNNNNNNNNNNNNNNNNNNNNNNNNNNNNNNNNNNNNNNNNNNNNNNNNNNNNNNNNUUUCCUCUUCAAGGGAAGAACCAACGCAAGCCCAGCCUCUGUCAACGUGUCAAUUUCUAGCGCUGUUGUUUGUGGGAUAGCAGAAGAAUUUCUGGUGCCGUUUCCGGGGAGGAAGAUCAAUUCAAGAACUCAUCCAAGUAGGUGUCGCAAACUCAUCUCUUGCAUUUACUUUGUUUGCCAGUUGCCUCUCGUUUUCAUCUCCCCCACUUCACCAAUUUUCCUUUUUCGUUCGCCUUUUCGUUCGCCCUUUUCUNNNNNNNNNNNNNNNNNNNNNNNNNNNNNNNNNNNNNNNNNNNNNNNNNNNNNNNNNNNNNNNNNNNNNNNNNNNNNNNNNNNNNNNNNNNNNNNNNNNNNNNNNNNNNNNNNNNNNNNNNNNNNNNNNNNNNUUCGUUCGCCCUUUUCUCUCGCUUGCUUUCUGCUCGGCUGUGUGGGAUAGUCUAUCAUGAUGGCUAGAUCCACCACUUCAAACGAUACUCCCGAGAGCGAAGUCCUCAAUUUCAAACAAAUUGAGGAAGAAAACUUAAAGGACGCUUGGUAUAGGAUUUGCAACGCUCAGAGUAGAUCUACUCAUAAGCAGUCCACUAUCGUCUUGCUUCGCAGUUUUUAUAUGGGUGUUUCUCCUUGGAAUAGGUAUAUUCUUGACAGCAUCAUAGGUGAAAAUUUCUUGGGUAGCCAUACCAUUGAUUCUUACGGAGCUGUGAUAAAUUUGGUAGGCUCACCCCCACUCUUGGUUAAUGGAACUACCUUAACUCUGGAACAUGUGAUGCGUAGGCUAGACGUUAUUGAAAAUAAAAUUGCUACGAUUGAACUCAUUGAGAAUUUGGAUAAAAAGAUCCACAAUCAAAUAACUUAGUAUAGAUUCAAGGUGGGAAUGGUUUUGAAAAAUUUAAAGGAGAAGGAAUCCACAGUUAACGAAAAGCUAGGUCAUGAUUCCGCUAGGAUUGGCAAACUAGAGGAUGUUAUAACCAACUUGGGUUCCGCUUUUGCCGCUGUGUAGAAUACUCCAAAUUUUGCCCACAAUAAAAUCGCCAAGUCUGUCUUUGUUCCUAAAAGUAGUGGUGAAUCAUCCAGCAAGAAAGAUGAAAACCUUAAGAUGAUAAGUGAUCACGCCACUUAUGGUUUGAGCACCAAAGACGACGAUACGUGAUUAUAUCGCUUCUAUGCCUAGCUAAGGGCGUUAAACAAUAGCGCUUGUUGGGAGGCAACCCAAUGAAUUUAUCUUUUUCUUUCUAUUUUGUUGCGUCCACACUUUCAUAAUUCUGUUGUGAUUGUGUUUUUUGUGUUUCUUUUGUGUUUGAGCCAAGCAAAGCCUUUAUGACUAGUCUUGGUAAUGGUUGUUUGAUCCUGCUGGAAAAAGACAGAAACUUUUCGCUCACGAGAUGAUUUUUCAUUUUUAUUCAGAAAGAGAUUUUGAGUUGAUUAUUUUUUCUGCUGAUUGAUAUGCUUUUUGCCCUGGCCGUCGUAAUUGUUCGGAUUUUUUGAGGUACCAGAAGUAUACGAAGUAUACAGAUUGCUACAGACUGGUCUGUUUUUGACAGAUUCUGUUUUUUGUUGAGUUGGUUGCUUGUUUUGAUGAAACUAUGGUUAAUCGAGGGGUACCAGCCAUGGAAAAGUGAGAAUACAGUAGCCCAUCAUCAAUAUAGAUAGAAUUCAAGUUUGCUACAGUACCAAAAUAAGUGGUAGUUUGUUUUCUUGUACUAAUGUUAUCACAAGUUUCUGUUUAAGUUUUGUGUUGUGAAGUUUUCAAGUUUUGGGUGAUGUUCUCAUGGACAAAGAGAUAAGGAGUGAAAAGAGCUCAAGCUUGGGGAUUCCCAAGGCAUCCCAAGCCAAAUUCAAGGACACCAAAAAGCCUAAGCUUGGGGAUGCCCCGGGAAGGCAUCCCCUCUUUCGUCUUCAAUCCAUUGGUAACAUUACUUGGAGCUAUAUUUUUAUUCACCACAUGAUAUGAGUUUUUCUUGGAGCAUCUUGUAUCGUAGGAGUCUUUUCCUUUUGUUGUGUCACAAUCAUCCUUGCUGCACACCUUUUUGAGAGAGAGAAACAUGCACUCAUCGUGAUUUUGCUAGAAUGCUCAUAGUGCUUCACUUAUAUCUUUUGAGCUAGAUACUUUUGCUCUAGUGCUUCACUUAUACCUUUUGAGCUAGACACUUUUGCUCUUGUGCUUCACUUAUAUCUUUAGAGAACGGCGGUGCGUGAUUUGGUAGUUGGCUUAUGCUACGAAAGUAGUCCCAAAUGUGAUAGGUACCCACAAUAACAACAACAACAACAACAACAACAACCAAGCCUUUCAGUCCCAAACAAGUUGGGGUAGGCUAGAGUUGAAACCCAUAAGAUCUCGAAGCCAAGUCAUGGCUCUGGAACGUGGAUAGCUAACUUCCACGCACCCCUGUCCAUGGCUAAGUCUUUGUCGAUAUUCCAAACCUUUAGGUCUCUCUUAACGGACUCCUCCCAUGUCAAGUUUGGUCUACCACGACCCCUCUUAACAUUCUCAGCACGCUUUAUCCGUCCGCUAUGCACCGGCGCUUCCGGUGGCCUCCGUUGAAUAUGUCCAAACCAUCUGAGACGAUGCUGGACCAGCUUCUUUUCAAUCGGUGCUACCCCAAGUCUCUCUCAUAUAUCGUCAUUCCGUACCCGAUCCUUCCUUGUGUGGCCACAUAUCCAUCUCAACAUGCGCAUCUCUGCUACACCUAACUGUUGGAUAUGUCGUCUCUUGGUUGGCCAACACUCCGCGCCAUACAACAUCGUAGGUCGGAUAUCUGUCCUAUAAAACCUGCCUUUUAGCUUUUGUGGCACUCUCUUGUCAUAGAGUAUGCUAGAAGCUUGGAGCCACUUCAUCCACCCAGCCUUGAUUCGGUGGCCCACGUCUUCAUCGAUAUCGCCAUCCUUCUGCAACAUGGACCCCAAAUAUCGAAACGUGUCUCUCUCCGGUACCACCUGCCCACCAAGGCUAACCUCUCCAUCCUCGUGCCUAGUAGCACUAAAACUGCACCUCAUGUAUUCAGUUUUAGUUCUACUAAGCCUAAAACCUUUCGAUUGUAGAGUCCGCCUCCAUAACUCUAACUUUUUGUUAACCCCCGUUCGGCUAUCAUCGACUAGCACCACAUCAUCCGCAAAGAGCAUACACUAUGGGAUAUCUCCUUGUAUAUCCCUUGUGACCUCAUCCAUCACCAAAUCAAAAAGAUAUGGGCUCAAAGCUAACCCUUGGUGUAGCCCUAUUCUAAUCGGAAAGUCAUUGGUGUCGCCAUCACUUGUUCGAACACUUUUCACAACAUUAUCAUACAUAUCCUUGAUGAGGGUAAUGUACUUUAUUGGGACUUUGUGUUUCUCCAAGGCCCACCACAUGACAUUCCGAGGUAUCUUAUCAUAGGCCUUAUCCAAAUCAACGAACACCAUAUGAAGGUCCUUCUUUUGCUCCAUGUAUCUCUCUAUCAGUUGUCGUACCAAGAAGAUGGCUUCCAUGGUAGACCUCCCAGGCAUGAACCCAAAUUGGUUUUUGGUCACGCUUGUCAACCUUCUUAUGUGGUGUUCAAUGACUCUCUCCCAUAGCUUCAUAGUAUGGCUCAUCAGCUUGAUUCUGUGGUAAUUAGUACAACUUUGAACAUCCCCCUUGUUCUUAAAGAUUGGUACUAAAAUACUCCGCCUCCAUUCUUCGGGCAUCUUGUUUGACCGAAAAAUGAGGUUGAAAAGCUUAGUUAGCCAUACUAUCGCUAUGUCUCCAAGGCCUCUCCACACCUCGAUGGGGAUACCAUCAGGACCCAUCGCCUUGUCUACUUUCAUCCUUUUUAAUGCCUCCUUAACCUCACACUCCUGGAUACGUCGCACAAAGCACAUGCUGGUAUCAUCAAAGGAGUCAUCUAGCUCCAUGGUAGAGCUGUCAACCUCUCCAUUGUAAAGGUUGUCAAAGUACUCCCGCCAUCUACGCUUGAUCGCCUCAUCCAUCACAAGAAGUUGAUCAUCUCCGUCCUUGAUGCAUUUGACUUCGCCGACAUCCCUCAUCUUCCUCUCCCUAAUCUUGGUCAUCUUAUAGAUGUCCCUUUCGCCUUCCUUAGUGUUUAAAUGUUGGUAGAGGUCCUCAUACGCCCGACCUCUCGCUUCACUCACCGCCCGCUUUGCAGCCUUCUUCGCCACCUUAUACUUCUCCAUCUUAGCUGCACUCCUGUCCAGAUAUAGGCAUCUGAAACAGUCCUUCUUCUCCCUAAUAACCUUCUGGACCUCAUCAUUCCACCACGAGGUGUCCUUAGCUUCCCUUCUACUUCCCUUGGUCACCCCAAACUCCUCUAUAGCGACCUUCCUCAAGAAGGUCGCCAUACCCAUCCACAUCAAGUUUGCAUCGCCUCCUUCCUCCCAAGGGCCCUCCUUAAUGACCCUCUCCCUGAAAGCCUGGGAUGCCUCCCCCUUGAGCUUCCACCACUUCGUUCUAGCGACUUUGGCGCGCUUAUCCCGGUGGACACGAAUCCUAAAGCGGAAGUCAGCAACCACAAGCUUAUGUUGAGGGACAACACUCUCUCCAGGUAUCGCUUUACAAUCAAUGCAAGCGCGUCUGUCUUCUCUUCUAGAGAGGACAAAAUCAAUCUGGCUAGAAUGUAGACCACUACUGAACGUCACUAGAUGGGAUUAUCUCUUCCUAAAGAGGGUGUUAGCUACAACCAUGUCGUAGGCUAGAGCAAAGCUCAGGACAUCUUCUCCUUCUUGGUUCCUAAUGCCAUAGCCAAAGCCCCCAUGCACCCUUUCAAAACCUGUGUUAGAUGUACCCACAUGGCCAUUGAGGUCUCCUCCUAUGAAGAGCUUCUCACCAAUAGGUACCCUCCUAACCAAGUCCUCCAGGCCUUCCCAGAACUCCCUGUUGGUGCUCUCAUUGUGGCCUAUUUGCGGGGCAUACGCGCUGAUAACAUUAAGGACUAAGUCCCCAACUACCAGCUUGACAAGGAUCAUCCGGUCCCCUUGCCUCUUAACAUCCACAACUCAAUCCCUAAGGCUCUUGUUGACCAAGAUGCCUACUCCAUUCUUGUUUGAAGUUGUCCCCGUGUACCACAACUUGAAGCCGGUAUCCUCCACCUCCUUCGCCUUUUGUCCCUUCCAUUUGGUCUCUUGGACACAUAGGACAUCAACACGCCUCCUCACCGCCGUAUAAACUAGCUCCCAUAACUUACCCGUCAGGGACCCUAUGUUUCAGUUACCUAAGUGUAUCCUCCUAGGCUCGGCUAACUUCCUUACCCUCCGCACUCGUCGAGUCAAAUGCGAAGACCCUUGCUCAUUUUUCACUACACCGGGGCGUCGGUGCAGCGCGCCACUAAGGAUGCGGCGACCCGACCCUUGCUCACUUAUCACCGUAUCCAGAUCAAGAUAUGGCGCGCCACCAAGGGGGUGACAGCCCGUCCCUUGCCCAUUUGACACCACACCCGGGUUCCGAUGUGGCGCGUCGCUAAGAGGGUUACGCCCCCAGCGAGUUUCCUUUGGGUUUCAUCUCCAUAAGAGUGUUUGGGUUUUUCACGUUGGCUCACUACACCUAUAACAACCCUCCUCCUUUACCUGGGCUUGGGACUGGCUAUGCUGAGACAACAUAAGCAGAGUUUUCAUUCCUCUCAAAUAGUUUUGAUACAUGGAUUUGGUAAUAUUAAGAUUUAUGUUAGUAGGGUGUUGUGAAUCUAGAAAUACUUGUGUUGAAGUCAGUGAUUCCCGUAGCAUGCACGUAUGGUGAACCGCUACGUUAGGAAGUCAGAGCAUAAUUGAUCUAUUGAUUGUCAUCCUUUGUGUUGAGGUCGGGAACGCACAAUGGUUAACACCUACCAACCCUUCCCCUCGGAGUAUGCGUUUAGCACUUUGUUUUGAUUACUAAUAAAAACUUUCGCAACAAGUAUGUGAAUUCUUCAUGACUAAUGUGAGUACAUGGUAUAGAUGCACUUUCACCUUCCACCAUUGCUAGCCUCUCUAGUGCCCCGCAAUUCUCGCUGGUGCACAAACCCACCAAAUUCCUUCCUCAAAAUAGCCACCAUAUCUACCUACUAUGGCAUUUUCAUAGCCAUUCCGAGAUAUAUUGCCAUGCAACUCCCACCGUUCCGUCUCAUGACUUGUGUUGUCACUCUCAUAUUGCCAUUGCAUGAUCGUAAGAUAGCUAGCGAGAUGUUUCAACGUCAUACGCCAUGCUAGAUCGUUGCACAUCCCGGUACACUGCCAGAGGCAUUUCCUAUGGAGUCAUCAUCAUUGUGAUCUUUGAGCUGUGAGUGAAUAAAAGUGUGAUGAUCAUCAUUAUUAGAGCAUUGUCCCAUGUGAGGAAAUUAAAAAAAGAUAGAAAAGAGGCCAAAGAGCCCAAAAAAGGGGGAAAGAAAAAAAGAGGCCUAAGAGACCAAAUAAAAAAAAGAGAAAAAGAGAGAAGGGACAAUGCUACUAUCUUUUUCCACACUUGUGCUUCAUGAUAGCACCAUGUUCUUCAUGAUUGAGAGCUUCUUGCUUUGUCACUACCAUAUGGUAGUGGGAAUCUUCAUUAUAUAACUUGGCUUGUAUAUUCCAAUGAUGGGCUUCCUCAAAAUUGCCCUAGGUAUUCGUGAGCAAGCAAGUUGGAUGCACACCCACUACUUUUCCUUUUGAGCUUUCACAUACUUAUAGCUCUAGUGCAUCUCUUGUAUGGCAAUCCCUACUCAUUCACAUUGAUAUCUAUUAAUGGGCAUCUCCAUAACCCUUUGAUAUGCCAAUUCAAUGUGAUCAUCUCCUCCUUUUUGUCUCACAACCACCACCACACUCUAUUCCACCUAUAGUGCUAUAUCCAUGGAUCGCGCUCAUGUAUUGCGUGAUAGUUAUAAAAAGUUUGAGAAAGUAAGAGUGCGAAGACAAUUACUUGGCCAAUACCGGGGUUGUGCAUGAUUUACAUUAGUUGUGUGAGGAUGAUGGAGCAUAGCUAGACUAUAUGAUUUUGUAGGGAUAACUUUCAUUGGCCUUGUUAUUUUGAAAGUUCAUGAUUACUUUGUUAGUUUGCUUGAAGUAUUACUGUUUUCAUGUCAAUAGCAAACUAUUUUUUUGAAUCUUACGGAUCUGAACAUUCAUGCCACGCGAAAGAAGUUGCAAAGGACAACUAUGCUAGGUAGCAUUCCACAUCAAAAAUUUAUUCUUUAUCACUUCCCUACUCGAGAAUGAGCAGGAGUUAAGCUUGGGGAUGCUUGAUACGUCUCCAACGUAUACAUAAUUUUUGAUGGUUUCAUGCUAUUAUCUUGUCAAACUUUCGAUGUUUUGUAUGCCUUUUAUAUAUUUUUUGGGACUAACUUAUUAACUCAGUGCCAAGUGCCAGUUCCUGUUUUUCCAUGUUUUUGACCCCUUUUAGAGGAGAUUUUGAAAUGGAGUCCAAAUGGAAGAAAAUCCCCGAAAAGAUUUUUUUUGGAACGGAAGAAGAUCGGGAAGCUUGGGAGCCAAGGCAGGGGAGCCUCAGGGGCCCCACAAUCCCCCACCACGCGGCCAGGGGGAGGCCGCGCCAUCCAGGCUAGUGGGCCCCCUGGACGCCCGUUGCCCUAGGUCUUUCGCCUAUAUAUUCCCAUAAAUUCCAGAAAAAAAUCAGGAGAUCAUCGAAAGUACUUUUCCACCGUCGCAAGCUUCUGUCUCUGCAAGAUCCCAUCUGGGGCACGUCCUGGUGCCCUACCGGACGGGGGAUUCAGACACACGGGGCUUCUUCAUUAAUACCAUGACCUCUCCGAUGAUGCGUGAGUAGUUCACNNNNNNNCUACGGGUCCAUAGUUAGUAACUAGAUGGCUUCUUCUCUCUCUUGGAUCUUCAAUACAAAGUUCUCCAUGAUCUUCAUGGAGAUCUAUCCGAUGUAAUCUUGUUUUGCGGUGUGUUUGUCGAGAUCCGAUGAAUUGUGGAUUUAUGAUCAGAUUAUCUAUGAAUCUUAUUUGAGUUUCUUCUCAUCUGUCUUAUGCAUGAUUUCAUAUCCUUGUAAUUCUCUUCGAGUUGUGGGUUUUGUCUGGCCAACUAGAUCUAUGAUUCUUGCAAUGGGAGAAGUGCUUGGUUUUGGGUUCAUACCGUGCGGUGACCUCACCCAGUGACAGAAGGGGUAGCGAGGCACGCAUCAUGUUGUUGCCAUCAAGGGUAAAAAGAUGGGGUUUUCAUCAUUGGUUUGAGAUUAUCCCUCUACAUCAUGUCAUCUUGCUUAAAGCGUUACUCUGUUCGUCAUGAACUCAAUACACUAGAUGCAUGCUAGAUAGCGGUCGAUGUGUGGAGUAAUAGUAGUAGAUGCAGAAAGUAUCGGUCUACUUAUCUUGGACGUGAUGCCUAUAUGUAUGAUCAUUGCCUUAGAUAUCGUCAUGACUUUGUGCGGUUCUAUCAAUUGCUCGGCAAUAAUUUGUUCACCCACCAUAACACUUGCUAUUUUGAGAGAAGCCUCUAGUGAACACUAUGGCCCCCAGGGUCUACUCCACACCAUAUUUUCAGCCUUACACUUUUUACUUCGUUGCACUUUCCGCCUUCAUAUCUCACUUUGCAAACAAUCUUGAAGGGAUUGACAACCCCUUUGAAGCGUUGGGUGCAAGCUUGUUUGUGUUUGCGCAGGUACUUUGGACUUGACGAGACCCUCCUUCUAGAUCGAUACCUUGGUUCUCAAACUGAGGGAAAUACUUACUGCUCCUGUGUUGCAUCACCCUUUCCUCUUCAAGGGAAGAACCAACGCAAGCCCAGCCUCUGUCAACGUGUCAAUUUCUGGCGCUGUUGUCUGUGGGAUAGCAAUGACAUCUUCCACGAAGAUAUCUCCGAGCAUGGUGAUGAAGAUAAAGGCAUGGGGGACUAUGCACCCUACUCCCACCUCACCUUGGUACUGCUUUUGGUCGCAAUUGUCAUCAUUAUGACAGUUGUGAUCAAUAUGACCGUGACAACGAAGCAAGAGUAAAGCUACAUGUGUCAGCAUUCACGGGAAAAGAGGAUUAGGAUGCCUAUAUCAAGUGGGAGGAGAAGUGCGGCCAGAUCUUUCGCAUCCAUUAUUUUUCUGAAUCCAAGAGAGUUGAUGUUGCUAUGAUGGAGUUCUCUAGUUAUUAUCUUACAUGGUGGAAUCAGCUACAAGAUGAUCGAUAGAUGCCGGGCAAUAAUUAUAUCUGUUGCUGGACUUUGACGAAGCAAUUCAUGAUGCGUCAUUUUAUUCCCUCAUACUAUGAGAGGCAAUUGUACAACUGGUUGUAGAAUCUCAGUCAAGGUUGUUGCACUGUUGAUGAGUACUAUAAAGAGAUGGAAGUGUUGCUAAUUCAAACAAGAACCCAUGAGAGUGAUGAGGCUAAGAUUGCGAGAUUUUUACAUGGUUUGAAUGAAGAGCUCUCAGCUUUUGUGGGUAUGUUCCUUAUGAUACACUAUAAGAUGCGAUACAUCAAGUCGUACGAGUUGAGAAGAAGAAUAUGUGUAAUGGUCGUGCUCAUGGCUUUGAAGGACGUACCACCACAUCCUCAUGGCACCAACCACAACAACCAUAUGGUUCGUGGUUUCAGGGUGCUCCACCUAGGCACCCAGUCGCCCACAUGCUUCAAUGGCCCUCUCACAUGUUGUUCUCAAUCAAGAUAAAAGGUCAUCACCUACAAUAGGAGCAUCAUCCUCUCCACCCGUAGAAAAUAUUUCUACACGCAGCAGUGGCAUUCAUUGCCAUAGAUGCAAAGGAAGUGGUCACAUUUGUUUGGAAUGUCCAAGUAAAAGAACUAUGUUCAUCAAUGAACAAGGUGAAUGUGAGUCUCAAAUUGAUCCUGAAGGUGGCAACGAUGAAGUGGAAGAAGACCAAGGUUGGGAAAUAGGAGGCACUAUAUUAUCCCAUAAAGAACUUAAUGGUGAAACAUUGGUUGUCUGUCGUUCACUUAAUGUCCAAGUUGUGGAGGAGGAAAAGGGGCGGCGACAUAAUCUUUUCCACACCUGUUGCCUUGUCAACUCAAGGCUAUGUUGAGUGAUUGUUGAUAGUGGAAGUUGUAGCAAUAUUGCAAGCAUGGAGAUGGUUCAGAAGCUUUAGUUGCAAACAAAACGUCACCCACAAUUCGCACGUCAUGCCAUGACUAAAUGAUUGUGGCACAAUAAAGGUGGUGAGCAGCAUGAGAAUACCGAUUUCAGUGGGGACAUAUCAGGAUAAUGUUGAGUGUGAUGUGGUGCCUGUGCAUGCUUGUCAUUUGCUUCUAGGAUGACUCUGGUUGCAUAACCGUGAUGUGCAAAUCAGCGGGCAUGCGAAUUGCUUGUGUUUAGUCCAUAGAUGAAAAAAGUUCACUUGGCUGCCCAUGACACCCGAGGAAGUCUAUCUUGAUGAGCUGAAAAGAAAAGGAAAUAAAAAGGGAGAGAGUGAUCAUACACAAAGAUUGAGCCACCAACAUAGUGAGGGGGUGUUUCCACAGCCAAAAGCUCCAUAGCCAAAUUUGACCAAGCCCCGGGAAAACCGGGGAUUACUUAUGAUGGCUAGGAAAAGGGAUAUGAAGGAAUUGAGAUAACUAAUACUCCAAUCUUUGUAUUCAUGUACAAGGAAACUUUAUUGGAUGCUAACGACUUACCUUCAACUCUUCCUAGUGUUUUAUUUGGUCUUAUGCACGAGUAUAAGGAUGUGUUACCCAAGGAGGUGCCACCCAGACUGCCAUGGAAGCGAGGCAUCGAACACCAAAUCGACUUGGUUUCUGAUGCCCCACUACCAAACCAACCACCGUACCGAGCAAACCGAGAGUAUACGAAGGAAAUUAAGAGGCAAGUAGAAGAUCUUAUUAAACAAGGGCAUGUAAGGUGAAGUCUUUCUCCUUGUGCCAUUCCAAUUUUUUGAGUUCCAAAGAAAGAUGGUACUAUGAGAACGUGCAUUGGCUGUAGAUCCAAUAACAACAUAACUGUGAGAUAUCGACACCCUAUACCUGGGCCUGGUGACAUGGUUGAUAAACUUUGUGGUUAUACCAUAUUUUCUAAAAUUGAUUUGCGAAGUGGGUACCACCAAAUAAGAAUGAAAGAGGGUGAUGAAUGGAGAACUGCUUUUAAGACAAAAUUUGGCUUGUAUGAAUGGUAAGUUAUGCCUUUCGGAUUAACGAAUGCACCUAGUAGUUUCAUGACAUUGAUGAAUCAUGUGCUUAGGUACUUCAUUGGCAAGUUUUUAGUGGUUUACUUUGAUGACAUAUUGAUUUAUAACAAAACUUUGGAGGAUCAUGUUGGACAUAUCAAAUGUGUGCUUGCUGCCCUACGGAGGGAAAGGUUGUAUGCUAAUUUAGAAACAUGCACAUUUUGCACAAACAAGGUCGUGUUUCUUGGCUUUGUACUUUCAGGUAAAGGUGCGGAGGUCGAUGAAGAAAAGAUCAAGGCUAUUCGUGAGUGGAUGCCUCCACAAAAUAUGAUCCAAGUACAUAGCUUCCUAGGACUUGCAGGUUUGUACCGCUGGUUUGUGAAGGAUUUCAGCACCAUUGUUGCAUCAAUGUAUGAGUUAACAAAUAAAGACACUCCAUCCAAAUGGGAUGGUGCUCAAGAAAAGUCCUUCAAAGAACUAAUGAUGAUAUUGACAUCAACCUCGUUUAUUUUGCUUCCUGGUUUUAGUAAGACAUUUGAGAUUGAAUGUGAUGCAAGUGACAUUGGCAUUGGCGAAGUCCUAAUGCAAGAAGUUAAACCUAUCGCCUAUUUUAGUGAGAAUCUUAAUGGACCAACUCUUAAUUAUUCCGUCUAUCAUAAAGAGUUGUAUGCACUUGUUCGAUCUUUAGAAACAUGGCAGCAUUACUUGUGGCCUAAAGAGUUUGUGAUACAUUCUGACCUUGAAUCUUUGAAACAUCUAAAGAACCAACUUAAAUUGAAACGUAGACAUGCCAAAUGGAGUGACUUCAUAGAGCCCUUUCCUUAUAUUGUCAAGUACAAUAAAGGAAAGGAUAAAGUUGUUGUUAAUGCAUUGUCUAGGCGUCAUAUUUUACUUUCCCAACUUGGUGUUAAAGUCUUUGGUUUAGAAAGCAGCGAAGAAUUGUAUGCUAAUGACUCUUACUUUGUUGAACCAUUUUCGAAGUGCAACAAGGUAAAGGGAUGGGAGAAGUUCACUUGCAUGAUGGAUUUUUAUUUCGAGCUAACAAAUUGUGCGUCCCAGAUUGUUCUGAUCGUUUGUUGUUUUUGCACGAGGCUCACGCUGGUUGUCUCAUGGGACAAUUUAACUCCAAGAAAACUGAGAGUGUAUUGGGUGACCACUUCUUUUGGCUAAGAAUGAAAUGUGACGUGGAACACUACCUGAUGAGAUGCGAGAUUUGUCACAAAGCUAAGUCCCGAUUGAACCCCCAAUGGUCUUUAUACUCCUAUAUCCAUUUUGAAUGCUCCAUGGGAGGAUAUUUCUAUUGAUUUUGUUCUUGGUUUACCACGAACUAAGAAAGGGAGUGAUUGCACAUUUUAUCCCAUGUCAUAAGAGCGAUGAUGCUUCACACAUUGCUGAUUUAUUUUUUAGGGAAGUUAUGUGGAUACAUGGAGUACCACGCAACAUUGUUUCAGACUGUGAGACCAAAAUUUGGAGCUACUUUUGGAAGACAUUGUGGGGAAAACUUGGAACCAAUCUCCUAUUUUCCACGACAUGCCACCCACAAACUGAUGGACACACCGAAGUUGUCAAUAGAACGUUGUCCAUGAUGCUAAGAGAAGUCCUAGAGAAGAAUUUGAAGAUGUGGGAGGAGUGCCUACCUCAUGUAGAGUUCACGUAUAACAGUGCAGUACAUUCAACCACUAAUUUUUGCCCAUUUGAUCUUGUUUAUGGAACCUAUUGCUCCCAUCGAUCUUUUGCCUUUGCCACUGCACAAACGAACCAGUCUUGAUACAAGUAAGUGUGCAGAUUUUGUCAAGAAAUUUCAUGCCCAAGCAAAGGAGAACAUUGAGAAGAUGGCCAAACAAUAUACGAAGAGGGAAAACAAGACAAGGAAGAAGAUGGUGUUUGAGCAAGGCGAUUUAGUAUGGGUACAUAUUCGGAAGGACCGUUUUCCAGAGCAACGUCGGUGCAAGUUGCAGCCACACAGCGAUGGACCAUUUGAGGUGCUCGAGAGGAUCAAUGAUAAUGCUCACAAGAUUGAUCUUCUAGAAGAAUAUGGUAUUGGCCCAACCUUCAAUGUCUAUGAUAUUUCCCGAUACUUUGGGCCUUUAGAGUCGAGGACGAGUCCUUCUUAAGAGGGGAGGAUGACGAGGACAUCCCAACCAUGGACAUGACAUCACCAGUCAUCAAAGGUCCAAUCACAAGAAAUCGCACAAAGCAAAUACAUGAUGAGAUGAACUCUAACUUAAGUUUAUCAUUUGACCUUCAAAACAUGGUUGUACCUUCACCUCCUUCGUUCUUGGUUGAACUCAGGUGCAACAUUAAAGAAGACCAACAACAUUUUCAGUCCAUGUUGAAACAUUGUUUUAUGACGAACAAACAUAGUUGUUGCUGAAGAAACAUUGUUUUGGCGCUGGAGAAACAAUGUUAUGCACGAGUUUGGUUUUCCAAACUUGCAAAAGGUUUCCAGCACUCAAGUUUUCUACUAAAGGAAACAUUGUUUGACUCGAGUGAACAAUGUUUGGUCGGGAACCACCAACCACCUCUAACGAGAGAUUCCCAGAAGCUACCUCAUUAAGUCUCGAAGUUGUUUAGUUAAAGCAAAGUUGGUUCUCUUUCACACCUAAGAUGGUUCUCGAAGCUAGUUUGUUUUCACACCUAAGCUGGGGGUGUCCCUAUUAUAAAUAGGCUAGCUCUUCCCUUCAUUAGGGACUUUUUUCGUUUCUAUCAAAGACCAAAGACAUAGACUCCUCCUGAGGUUGGAGAGCUCUUAUUAUCCUUAUUCUCAUGAUUCCUUGAGAAGUUUAUCCCAAUUUAUGCUCCACGACUAGAUCGUGUUGUGUGGGUUAGAGUUCGUGGUUUCCUCUCGAGUUGCGCAUAUCCAGUGCUCCACAACUUGAGCAUGGUUGUGUGGGGUAGUAUUGAGGGUUGUGGAUCGGUGAAUGUUCGGAUUACAGGCUAUGGUUAGCAUCCUCCUCAUCGAAUCAUAAUAUUUUAUUUUCUAUUUCUUUGGCUGCUUACAGCUAGUUAUCCCCAUCCAUUUACCAAUCCUACGCUAUGAAAAUUGGACCUCCCCUUGCACGCCCUCUGCUCCGUAGAUGGUGUCGUAUCAGUUUGACUAGUGUGGGCGGUGGUGGUCGGUGCUAGGUGAUGAGAGAAAGGUGCCGGGGAGCUUCAGGGUCGUUGGAUGAUCCAUAGGAAGACUAGGGCAACGAGGGGAGCAACGAGAGAGCGACAUGGACUCAGGGUUUGUCGGGUGCAAUUCGAGCGCUUUGCUUGCGCUUUGGAGUCACAGACCACGUGAUUGACCGAAUGUCAGGGUGUCCUAGGUUGACCUAUUGGAGCUGGCAUUUGGCAGGGUUGUGACUAUUAAGGUUCUUGGGAUGACAGACAUGAUGGUUUAGCAAAUGGAGCCAGAGACAUGUGGAGGCGAGAGAGCUGCAAGAUUUCAGCCAUGCCUACGAGGUGUUUGAUGAAAUACUAAGGUAUCCUAGGCCUUUUUGUUGGCUAUGAAAGUUGGCAGGAUGAUGCCUCAUUGGAUAGUUAAAAUGUUGGCUUUGGUUUGUGACAACUGAAAACUUGCUAGUGCAAGUUUUGCAAAAGUUCAGUUCUGAAACAGAACUACAUGAACUUAUUUGAUGAACUUAUAAUGCUCAAAUGGGUUUGGGCUUCCGGACAUAAGGGUUUUGUAGGAGGGACUACAAGGUGUAUAAAUUUGAGAAGUGUUUGAGCAAGGAAAAGUAGGGUUGUAGUUCAAUGCUCAAUUUGGACCAGAUUGGAAAAUAGGAAGUUGUGCUCAAAAUUUUCAAAAUAAUAUGAUGGGUUUUUGAAUAAGAGUGAUCUAUAGGACCAAGAGGCACUUCCAAAAAAUUUGUGGAAUUUUAAAAGAAUUAUAUAAAAUAAUGUUAGUGUAAGAGGGGAAUUCUAGGGUUUGAAAAUAAUCAUAAUAAAUUAUUUUGAGACAAAUAAUUAUGAAAAUAAUUCUUACUGAUAUUUAUAAGAUAAAUGAAAGGAUCGGGAGACAAUUUUAAACCCAUAAUAUUUUCUAUAAAUUUCAAUAUGAAGGGAAGAAUUUUGAGAAAUCAAAAAAGAGUGAAACUCUAAAAUUAAUAAAGGACUUGAUAUAAUUCAAAAUUUUAUUUCUGGAAAAAUAUUACUUAAUAGAAACAUGAUUAAAUUUUGGGGGUGUUACAAGGGCCAAAGAUAUCUCUGUGUCACAAGGAGUGGAAAAUCCGAGUCUCGAUCCAUGCAACCCAACAAACACCUUUGGAGACACAUGUAGAGCAACUUUCUAAUCACCGAGUUACGAAGUGACAUUUGGACACACAUUAAGUAUUAUUAUGAUGUCAGGGAGUUGCACUACUCAUGGUCUAGUAACAAAUACUUGAGAUGAAGAAAACUUUAGAAAUUAAUCUAAGUGAUACGACUGUAAGCUAAGCUUACGGUUGGGUCUUGUCCACCACAUCAUUCUUCUAAUGAUAUGAUCCCAUUAUCAAAGGAUAACUGAGGUCUAUGAUUAGGAAACCUUAACAAUGUUUGAUCAAUGAGCUAGUCUAGUAGAGGCUCACUAGAGACACGGUGUUGUUUAUGUAUCCACAUAUGUAUUUAUGUUACCUACAAAUACAAUUCUAGCAUGAAUAAUAUACACUUGUCGUGAACAAGGAAAUAGGAUAAUAACCAAAUUAUUAUUGCCCCUAGGGUAUAUUUUCAACACUUAUGCCCCCUCCCGCGUAUAAAUUCCUAUUUUCCGAAACACUCGGUGCCAACUUUUCGCUAUUUUUUCGCCGUCGCCAUUUUUUGUUCCGACAAGAUCCAAUCUAGAUGUUUGUUCCAGCGAGCUGUCAGAGGGGGAAUCCAACACCGGAGCCAUCUUCAUCAACCUUGAUGUCAUCACAUCCAGGAUUGGGUAUUUUCCUUCGGACCUUGGGUCCAUAGCAGUAGCUAGUUUACAUCUUCUCUCUCUUAUGUCUCAAUAAAAAGUUCGUGUGAGCUGCAUCACAUGAUCAGGAUCAAUUUGAUAUAGUCGCUCUUGUGUUUGUUGAUAUAUGAUGAAUUGUCACUUUAAGAUCAGAUCUGUACAUGAAUUUUAUAGAGUUUAUAUGAUUUCUUUGUUGAAUAAUUAAGUAGUUGAUACAUCAACUACAUCUUCAUCGUAUCUACUUCUCCAAACGUUUUUGCUCUUGUUUUGGACUCUAAUUUGCAUGAUUUGAGUGAAACUUACCCGGAGUGAUGUUGUUUUUAGCAGAACUAUCGUUUUACUUUUAUGUAGAAAUAGAAGUUCUCAAAAUUGGGCGAAACUUUACGGAGAUUUUUUUAUGGAAUAAAUAAAAAAAAUACCGGAGCAAAGAAGUACCACAUGGGGCCACCCAUGGACCACAAGCCAGGCGGCGUGCUUACCCCCUGGGCACGCCAUGGUGACUUUUGGGUCCCUUGGACCUCCAGGAGACCUAAUUCCAGCGCUAUAUUCUCACUCCCCGAGGAAAAAUAUAGAGGAAAUUUUAUCGCCUUUUACGAAACGGACCCGCCUCCUUCUCAUGUUCUUAUUCAUGGCAUAAUCUAUAUAAGCCAUGGCUAGGACAUUGGGUUUAAGAUCUCCCACUUUAUAAGAACUCUCUCUCUCUCUAUCUCUCACGCACUUUCUCUUGCGAACUCAGUCGCAUGAAUGAUAAUCUUCAUAUGCAAGAACACAACAUACAUGAGCAUGGUUGUUACCUCCACCGCUGAGGGACAUGAACUUUUUCUAACUUCUCGUGUUACCCAUUUGCACCUCCAUAGAUCUAAGCUCCGUUCAUAUACCUCUCAUACUGUCAGAUUUAGAACCACGACAAGCAGGGUGGUUCCGUGGAGGGUAAAUUCAUGUCCUUUAGUGUUAGAUUGAUUAUCACUAACUCGUGUGUAUCUUCCAUCACGACGUACUCGAUGGGGAUGAUUCUGUGGGUAGACAGGUCCAUACCAAGUUUGACAAAGUACAUCCAGGUUUUUACGCAAAUACCACAUGAUCAAGUGGGAAGGCAUCUACAUCCUAAAAACCUUGGGGAAUGUGGGCGUUAUGAAAUCUAAUGUCAUGAAUACUGCACUUGUGGACAAGCGGGGCGAUAAAAUGAAUCAGAAUGCCACAAGGAUUUCGGUGGGACUCCUAAUGCCAAGCAACCCCCUUGUCCACUUUGUUCGAAUCGUCAAUGCACAACUUUUGUUUUGAAAUGGAAUCCAAGGAGGUUAAGAUUGCAUUUUUCUUGGGGCAAGUUUAAGAUAAACAACAACCAUUCAACUAGGUUUGGGGUACAAUUAUUCCCUAGGGCCAUGCCUCUGUGGCCUAGUUUCACACUCUGUUCAUUAUUGCGAUGGACCUUACCAUCUCGGUGGGCGAGGCUUUAUGCGAGGGCACCAACAACAUUACCUUCUAGAGGGCUCCCUCCUCGCUCGAGGCUGGUAUAUGGGACUUGUUGCUCGAGAUUUGGCUAAUGUAAUAUUCAUAGACGAAGCCGACUCUGUCUCCUUUAACGAGGUGUCCUACUCCUGAGAAUCAACGUGUUUCUAUGUGAGCUCUUAAGAAACCAUCUUCCUACACCAAUGCACAUUGCUAAGUUCAACGGGUCGUUUGAUGGCACUUGCACUUUAUGUGGCCAAAUGGAGAGCACUCACCACAUUUUGUUCCAUUUCUGUUAGUUGAAGUUGUGUGGAGUUGUGCACGGAAGGAAUUAAAUUAUGUUGUGAUAGGACCCCCUCCCUUAGUGUUCGAACUUGUGGGUAUAGGGUUGGGCCUUCAUGCUAUGUGCAAAGAGUUGUUUGACAUUGUUUUUGCCACCCUAGUGCGGGCUUCAUGGAUUAUAUUCCAUAAACUUGCUAUUGAAAAUGUUGUUACUUUCAAUCUGGAUAAUUGUAUUUUCAAUUGUGUUUUCCCCUCCAGCUAUGGGCACCACUCGGGAGAUGAACGACAUGGCUAGUGUGACCAAAGCGUUUUACAAACUUAAACAUAUCCAUGCCAUCAAAAGGGGGAAGGGCGAUGACCACCUAUGGUGCCACGUAGUGUCUUCCGUAUUUCAGAACCAAAACAUACUCUAUGUAAGCAGUUGCUCUUUAUCCGUUAGUUUCUAGCGUUUGGAAGCUCAUCCCACUUUUUUGUGUGUAAAUUUGGUUGUUAAGAUUUUCUAACUCACUAGCCUUGUUACGUGUACGGUUUUUGCCCUGUUUUCCUCAUAAACGGUGUCAACUUGUUUAGAUUUUUGAUCCAAUUUUCUUAUAAACUGGAUCAGCGAAAUCUCAAGGAAUGAUUUUUGCUUUUGGUAAAAAAUUUAGCAAUAUAUAUUCAGGCGGGAAUCCUCCUCCUCGUGAUCAUUAAACAAAACAAAACUCACUAGACUUAGUUUGGACUUUGUAAAUUUAAAGCCGAUGGUUGCUUGCGCUUUCUUUUUUUUUAGAUUGCAUUGAAAAUGAAGUUCAUCACAAUUGUAAGCAAAAUAUUUCAUAUGAAGCAAAACUAAAAGACUUUGGAAACGAAUUUAGUUUCUAAAGGAAGCAACUUACUCCCCCGCUUAAGAUGUUUUGGAUAUUUCAAUGUGAGCUAGAUAUGAAUUAGAUGAGUGAACAAACGUACUAAAACGUGUCUACGUGCAUCUAAUUUUAAAAAUAUAUUAUCUUUUUUGAAUUAAUUGUUUUAGAUUUUUCAAGAUAUGGAUGUAUCUAACACACACUAAAGCGAUUUGUAUCUAGACAAAUCUGAGUCAACUAAUUCGGCCAUGAAAUCACAUUUUGCUGGAGCCAUUAGUUUCCUCAACUCCCGAAAUUAGUUUCCAAAAACUGAAGAAAGUUAAAUUGGCCAGUAGUUAAUAUAGCAAAUUGCACGUAAUUAGCGUUAACCAUUUUCAGUGCUUGAAAACUGUACACCAGAGACGUGCACGGGCCACCAUGCUCGUCCAACGACCGCCACGCGUCUUGACGCCGGCUAGGUGGGUACGAGCCGCUGUCGUCGGGUCUUCCACCACCACCAUCCGAUGCCAUCCAACGGCCCAUGCCCGCCCCACUCUGCCGCGGCUUCUAUAUAAUCCCGAGCCCACGAUCCUGGUCCUCCCCCCUACGCCGUGCUGUGCUCGAGUGUCAACGUCAUCCCGUAGCCCCGCCGCCGCCUCCGCCACAAGCGAACAAGGUGAGGCGCCCCUCCUCCCGCCAGUCUUCUUCUUCAUUUUGCUUACGCUCGUUCCGAUCUAGUAGGCGGCUUCAUUUUGCUUCCGUUUCCAUCGUGCGGUCCGAUCUGGUACGCGUUUGUUGUGCCUGUCGCUUAGGGCUUUAGAAACGGGCCUCGUCUUGAUCCGCCGCCCCGGUACUUCGCGGUGAAAUUUGCGCUUAAUUUCUUGUCAACUUGUUGUCUAGAGGAAGUGCCGCCCAGGUUCGCGGCGACCAGCUAGAUCCUCGUGAUUGGGGAUUUCGCCACCCUUUUUUCUCUCUGAAAUCCUUUCGAGAUUGGGUGUACUGCGGCCAUUAUUCAUCCUGUGAACCAGUCGAGAGAUUUGAUAUUAGUAGUGAUCUGUAUGUGCUUAUUCUGUACGCAGAGAUUAAUAGUACCCGGUCCAUUUAUCUGGGAUUUGGUGCCGAACAAUGGAUUGCGAGUGGUAGUUUGGUCACAGUACAAUUGGAUUGGUGCCUUAUGCUGCGAAAUAGUGGCUGCGAUUUAGUUGCUGGACAGUGGCUGAACAGUUUGGUCACAGCGCAAUUGGAUAGGUACCUUGUGCUGUGAAUAAUAGUGAUUUAUGUUGUUCUUAGGACCUUGUCCUGGGAAGAAUAGAAUUUAUACUGCUGUGUCCCGAGGUGCUGAUUCGCAAGUUACAGCCCUGCGCGUUGAGUGCACUGGUUGAUUCUUUUAUUCGUGGAAUCUUGUCCUGUUUGUGCAACUUGAUUAUUGUAGGCCGCUUUGGUUAGGGUAUCUGUAUUUCAUGUCCCUACCACUGCCUACUUUUUACAAUAGGGAGGAGAAUGACUUGUGGGCAUUCACACAACUGCUAAAACUCACGAGCAGCUCAUUUCAUUAGAGUUUAAGAAAGUAAAAUAGUUUGUAUGUAUGUCGAAUAUGGUAUUUCAAAUCCAAGUUUCUAACCUCUAGAGUGUUUUCCUUUUAUGGCAGUUCUUAUGUUCUGAGACACUGAUCACGUUUUGUGUAGGCCAAAGAAGAUGGCUGAAGUUGAAACCUUUCUCUUCACAUCUGAGUCUGUCAAUGAGGGGCACCCUGACAAGCUCUGUGACCAGAUAUCUGAUGCUGUGCUAGAUGCAUGCCUGGCUGAAGAUCCUGACAGCAAGGUUGCUUGUGAGACAUGCACCAAGACCAACAUGGUCAUGGUUUUCGGUGAGAUCACUACCAAGGCCAAUGUUGAUUAUGAGAAGAUUGUCAGGGACACUUGCCGUGGCAUUGGUUUUGUGUCCAAUGAUGUAGGGCUUGAUGCUGACCACUGCAAGGUACUUGUCAACAUUGAGCAGCAGUCCCCUGACAUCGCUCAGGGUGUCCAUGGCCACUUUACCAAGCGGCCUGAGGAGAUUGGCGCUGGUGACCAGGGCCAUAUGUUUGGAUAUGCAACUGAUGAGACUCCUGAGUUCAUGCCCCUCAGCCAUGUUCUUGCUACCAAGCUUGGAGCUUGUCUCACCGAGGUUCGCAAGAACGCGACCUGCCCGUGGUUGAGGCCUGAUGGCAAGACCCAGGUGACUGUGGAGUAUCACAAUGACAAUGGUGCCAUGGUCCCUAUACGUGUCCACACUGUGCUCAUCUCUACCCAGCAUGAUGAGACAGUGACCAACGAUGAGAUUGCUGCUGAUCUGAAGGAGCAUGUGAUUAAGCCUGUCAUCCCAGAGCAGUACCUUGAUGAGAAUACCAUCUUCCAUCUCAACCCAUCUGGCCGCUUUGUCAUUGGUGGACCUCAUGGCGAUGCUGGUCUCACUGGCAGGAAGAUCAUCAUUGACACUUAUGGUGGCUGGGGAGCUCAUGGUGGAGGCGCUUUCUCUGGCAAGGACCCAACCAAGGUUGACCGCAGUGGUGCAUAUAUUGCAAGGCAGGCGGCGAAGAGCAUUGUCGCCAGUGGCAUUGCCCGCCGCUGCAUCGUCCAGGUGUCUUAUGCUAUUGGCGUGCCUGAACCACUCUCUGUCUUUGUUGACACAUACGGCACGGGCAAGAUCCCUGACAAGGAGAUCCUCGAGAUUGUUAAGGAGAACUUCGACUUCAGGCCAGGCAUGAUCAUCAUCAACCUUGACCUCAAGAGGGGCGGGAGCGGGCGCUACCUCAAGACGGCGGCAUACGGGCACUUCGGCAGGGAUGGCGCGGACUUCACCUGGGAGGUUGUGAAGCCCCUCAAGUGGGAGAAGCCUUCUGCCUGAGCAAACACUUAGCGAAGCCUCUGAAUAAAAUUAGUUUUACCUGUCGCAGCAAGUAAUAUCUCUAUUCAUUGCUCCAGUGCUGCAACGGUGCAAGUCUUUUUUUUUCAGUGUGUUUAGAGGUGCAUGUAUCGUGGGUGUGCUACUUGUGUUCUUAUCUGCUCAAGUCAUGGUAAUGGUGACGACAAGAUUGAAACUAUCCAAGAAAUAUAGCUCUCCACUCUUUGGUAAUCAUCUGUAUUGGAACAACUCUGUUCAGCAUGUAUGCGAUUUCUUUUCGUUCCGCGGUAGAGAGCAUCAGCAUUUUAUAUCUUUUAUAUAUUCACCUAUAGAUGCUAAGGACCGUGAUAGUACUUCCACUUAUAUGUGUUUUAUUUAUGUGGUAAUAUAAGGAGCGUGAUAGUACUUUCACUUAUAUGUGCUUUAUUAGGUGCUAUUUCCUCCUUAAACUAAUAUAAGAGUGUU
rnacentral:lncRNA from 1 species